rnacentral:rRNA from 1 species
UACGUAGGGGGCAAGCGUUGUCCGGAUUUAUUGGGCGUAAAAAGCUCGUAGGCGGCUCAGUAAGUCAGGUGUGAAACCUCCAGGCUCAACCUGGAGACGCCACCUGAUACUGCUGUGACUAGAGUCCGGUAGGGAGCGUGGAAUUCCUGGUGUAGCGGUGAAAUGAUGCAGAUAGUCAGGAGGAACACCAGCGGCGGAAAGGCGGCGCUCUGGGCCGGAACUGACGCUGAGGAGCGAAAGCCGUGGGUAGCAAACAGG